AUAACUCCUUUUAAUAAUAACCAUUGGGAAACAGAGGAAAAAACAAAAGCAUUUGAACAGAAGUUCAUCUGUAUUAUUUUGCUUGUGGAUUACAUUGGGUGUAGGUAUUUCUCAGAGACUACUGAUCAAUUGUAGUAGUAGUUAUCAGCAUAUCACAAAAUCAUAGAGUCAUACAAUCAUUUGCAUUGGAAGGUGUAGUGCAAAUGCUCAGUCAUGGCUUGAACCAGUGAUUGAGCACCUGGUGGAAAGCAGGGCCAACCCAGGUGAGUUCAGGUACAUGCAGUGUCCCUGAGUGACCAGAAUGAGUGGAGGCAGGAUCCACCCCCUCCCAGACCUCAUUUAAGGGUUGGCAGUGAAGGUAAGGCCUUCUUUUUGGGGAUUGUUAUACACCUGAGACCUUCUGAAGUUACUGUUGGAUCUUUCAAGAGACAGAAUUUGAUUAAUGUCAAGUCACUUUUGAACUGACGGUGCUUUUCAAAACAAAAAAGAAGGAUUAGAAAUCAUGUAAAGGAAAACAUAAAGGUAUCUCCAUGGCUGCUUCUCCUCCACAAUGUGGUGCUGCAGUGCAGGACCAGAGGUUAAAAGGACAACCUCAUUUCUGUGGUUAACAGGAAAGAAAACUCAGUCUCAAUCACAUACGGAAGUGAUGAGUUUUUCUGAUUGGGAAGCUGUUCCCAUUGGCAUAGAUGAAAGAUGUUUUACUGGAGUGCUCUGAUUCUGGAACAUUUCUUCAAGUUCAAAAAGAGAUACUAAGAAAUUUAGGAGGAUUAUUUAAGUAGAAAGUAAGCUUUAAUUCAUAGCUUUUUCACAUGAGCUUCAUUUGUCACUGUUAAUUUUAUUAUUAUUAUUACCACCAUCAAAUCAGUUUCUACUGUGAACAGUCAUCAAAUUUAGGAGAGAAUUACCUCACUGGAUGACUGCACUAGUGGGCCAAUAUCACAUUUUGGAAUCAAUCCUUCUAUUUAACCUAAGGUCUGGUCAGCACUAAAAAGUGUUGUGAUCUUUCACUAUUCUGCAGUAGGAACGCUGUUUGUUAAUAUGCUUUGAUUUGUUUCUGGAGAAGAUGGUUGAUAAAAGUAACUUUCAUUUAAAGAGGUUAAUAAGUAUAUGAGAAAAUUCACUUUCAUUCUAGGCCUGAACUGGUUGUAGGCUGCAGUUUCCUUUUGGGGCAUCUAAAACAAGAAGUGAAAUGGUAAAUUUGGGCAUUGCUAAUGAAUAUUAACACAGCUAGGAAACUGGAGGGAAAUGGUCUGUACUUACGGCAACCAGAAAACAAAAAAUUAUAAUGUUGUUCUGUACUAAAAAAUGACUGUGUUAAAACAUCUACAGCUAUUUUGAAACAGUAAGAACUACCUAUUAGCUGUUCAUAUUGUUCUUCAAUUCUGCAUUUCAUUUCAACUCUAAAACAUUGCUGCUUAGACCAGUAGUUCCCAUUUGCUAACCUCACAUGAAGAGGCAAAGCCACACAAACAGAAAUUUUUCAAUUCAUAGUGUAACUCUUUUGCCUGAUCCUCUUUCUUUUUUCUCCUUUUCAUGAUCUGUUCUCCCCUUUAAGUCAUUGCAUCAUCACUUCUAUCAGAUAGCUUAUUCCUUGCAGCAACUCCUGAAAUAUGUGACUUCCAGAAGUUUUUUGACAAAAGUGAACUUCUAUUUUUAAACCUUUUUUUCUUCCCCUUUUUCAUUCUUGUCACUUUACUAUAGUGUGAAAUAGAGAAGAAAGACGAAUAGCCACUUGUAGGCACUCAUCAGACGUGGCAUUUUAACCACCAUCUGAACAUCGGGAACAAACAAACAAAAAAAAGCCCAAAGGAACAAACAACCCCAAACCCAUAUGGUUCACUUUACUCUGGAGAGAUUGUUAAACAAGCAAAGCAGUGGUCAUAAUUCCAAGGAAUGCUUUGAUUACUGUAAAGUAGAGAACCCAUUAGGAAUUCCAUCUUCUGUUUAUAUGAACGUUAUGGAUUGUACAAUGCAACUGUGAUGUAACAUAUGACUGUUUUCCUCUUAUCAAAGAGAAUCUAGGGGAACCAAGUCAGCCACUUUCUUUUCUUUUUUAGUUUAAUUUAAACUUGCCAAAUUUUUGCUUUUAAGUUACUAAGGAUUAUAUUUUAUUACACUUACUAAACUAAAUUAUCAGCUUCAGAAACAGCAAAACAAGCUCCACGUGGAGCUGCAUAUGUGUACUAUAGGAAAGUCCCUCUAGUUUUUACUAAUAGAAUACUGAAAGACAGGCUCGAACCUAGCUGGAAAAAAAUGUAACUUGAAAGAGAAAUUCAAGAAUACUUCAGAAAUCAAACAAUCUUUUCCAGGUAUGAUGAUCUGAUUGACAGUUAAUAUUAGGCCAAUGAAAGCACAGAAAUCAUAACCACAGUUUCACUGCUAUGUUAAUCUUGAAGCUCUUUCCCAACCUGAGCAAUUCUAUGACUCCCACUGACUCCAACCCAUAGAAAAAUAAUCAUGGUGCAUACACAGUACAGUAAAAAGGAGUAAAAAUAAGAUAAUGAAUGCUCAAUCAGUACAUGUACUCAAAAUUUAUGGAAAAGGACAGAACAAGUUUUGAGAAGAGGUACUCAAAAUUCUUUCUCUCACUUGCUGUCACGAACAAUUUGCAUGAAGUAUUGCAUUAGAAUAUAUGCUGCAGAUUUUAUAAAUCUGGGGAUAUUUUUGAUGUUACAUUCAGAUGAGUAGCAUGGCCUUUGACAGGACAUGGAGAUUAUUGAGAAACUGGUCUAUUUUCUCUAUCUGCUGUGCAUAACUAGAGAGAUACAAAACACCAAAGUUAUCUGUAAUUGCAAGUCCAACUGGAAGCUUGUGCUGUUGAAAGAAAGACAAAGAACAGUACGGUGAAGUGCUGAAAAGAAAUGACCACAUUCAACCUGUAAAUAGCAGAGCCCCUUCUUCCUUAUUUGUCAGGAAGGGAAUAAUCAGCAUAAAUUACACUCAUGGAUUUACUACUUAUUUCCUUUAUAUUUUUAUAUAAUUCACAUGUAAUGUGCAAACAGAAAAGGAGGAAAUUAAAAUGUGUGCAUAUUAUAGCUUAAAUGUCUCCAGAAUAAACGUAGGUUUUGUUAACAAAAAACAUCUUGGAAACAAAAUCACCAUGUGGUACAUAGGUAGAGAAUUUGGGGAUUCAUUUUUAAACCAACAGGUUUAAAGUUCUGCAGAACUAUUCUGAAACAAACUGUUAAUAGAGAUGAAGCUAAUGACUUUUGUUAUCACCUCAUUUGGAGCACAUGCUGUAUACAAUAUAUUGUGCUAACAAAAUUACGUUAAUUCUCAAAGAAAAAUUAUCAUUUUCAGAGGAAGAUAAUAGU